AUUGAACGCUGGCGGCAUGCCUUACACAUGCAAGUCGAACGGUAACGGGCCUUCGGGCGCCGACGAGUGGCGAACGGGUGAGUAAUGCAUCGGAACGUACCUUUCGGUGGGGGAUAACGUAGCGAAAGUUACGCUAAUACCGCAUAUUCUGUGGGCAGGAAAGCAGGGGAUCGCAAGACCUUGCGCUGAUUGAGCGGCCGAUGUCAGAUUAGCUAGUUGGUGAGGUAAAGGCUCACCAGGGCGACGAUCUGUAGCGGGUCUGAGAGGAUGAUCCGCCAAACUGGAACUGAGACACGGUCCAGACUCCUACGGGAGGCAGCAGUGGGGAAUUUUGGACAAUGGGGGCAACCCUGAUCCAGCCAUGCCGCGUGAGUGAAGAAGGCCUUCGGGUUGUAAAGCUCUUUCGGCCGGGAAGAAAUCGUAUGGGCUAAUACCCUGUGCGGAUGACGGUACCGGCAUAAGAAGCACCGGCUAACUACGUGCCAGCCGCCGCAGUAAAAC
rnacentral:rRNA from 1 species